GGUGGCACAGUUGUUAAGAGCUAUGGCUGCUAACCAAAAGGUUGGUGGUUCAAAUCCACCUGCCACUC
rnacentral:tRNA from 1 species